GGUGCAUGAUAUUUGCAGAUGACAUGGUUUUAACAGAUGAAACUUUGGUUGGAGUUAACAGGAAGUUAAGAGUUAUGGAGCACCAUGAAGUCUGUGGGUUCUAAGUUGAACUAAAUAAAGUAUAUGCACAACAACUUUAUCAAUGCAGGGCAGGUGAUUGAAAUGGGGUUUAAGCUUAGAUGGGUUACAGGUCCCUCAAAGCACAAAUUUCUGCUAUCCAAGAUAUAUCAUAUAGAGAGAUGGAGGAAGUAAGGAAGUCAAAUAUAGAAUUAAAAGAAGUUGGAUGAAGUAGUGAGUUGCUACAAGAGUCCUAUAUGACCUCAAAAUACCUUUUGAUUAAUUGUAUGUAUUGCAGUGAGUGUUAGGAGGUGAAGAAAUACCAUAUCCAUGAGAUGGCAGUGGUAGAAACAAGGAUGCUGAGGCGGUGGUGAGGAAAUACAAGAAUGAUCCAAGAAAAAAAAAAGAUGAAUACAUUUGUAGGAAGGUGGAAGUGACGUCUAUCGAGGAAAAGUUAAAAAGACAAUUGAAAUGGUUUGGAUAUGUGCAUCAUAGAAAAACAAAUGCUCCAACAAGAAAGGUUGAGGUGUUGAGCACAUUGAAGUGAUAAAAAUGAGAGAGGGAGGGGUAAACUUAAGAUGACAUUUGGGUCGGUAGUGAGAAAGAACAUACUGGCCCUAGACCUUUCUGAAGAUUUCGGUAUAAAUUAAGUAGAAUGGAGGAAACGAAUCCAUAUAGACCUCAAUUAAUUUGGAUUAAGGUUUUGUUUUCAUACUCAACUACAAACAAUAGUUGAUUACUGGAUUUUCAAGCUUUGAAAUCAACCCAAAACUAGCCGUGGAGAGUCCACUCCAAUCUGCAAGAUGACCUACGUCAUGAGGCUUGUUAAGAUUAUGAAGGCUUGAUAUACUGAAAUCAAACUCAAAACCAAUCCUGGAGAGUCCAACCUGCAGGAUGUCCUACAUUAUGAGGUGUGUUAAGAUUAUGAAGGCUUGAUGUACAUUGUUG
rnacentral:misc_RNA from 1 species